rnacentral:rRNA from 1 species
UACGAAGGGGGCUAGCGUUGCUCGGAAUCACUGGGCGUAAAGGGUGCGUAGGCGGGUCUUUAAGUCAGGGGUGAAAUCCUGGAGCUCAACUCCAGAACUACCUUUGAUACUGAGGAUCUUGAGUUCGGGAGAGGUGAGUGGAACUGCGAGUGUAGAGGUGAAAUUCGUAGAUAUUCGCAAGAACACCAGUGGCGAAGGCGGCUCACUGGCCCGAUACUGACGCUGAGGCACGAAAGCGUGGGGAGCAAACAGG